rnacentral:lncRNA from 1 species
UUCCUCCUUUUCUUCUAAAACCUCUAAUCUCUUAUUCCCUCUAAUGUCUGACCAAAGUACUGCUGUCUGAGACAUUGGAGGCAUACUGUGCUCCUCUUCUUCCCUCCCUGUGGAGAAGCCUUAAGUUACAUGCCUUCAUCCAGUCUUGCAGAGUUGUGUCUAAUGCAGCAAGAUGCCUGCCUGUUUUCUUUGUUCCUAGCUGUCUCCAGGCAUCCAAACUAUGCCUGUUCCAUCAGUACUAAGGGUGAGGUGAGAGAGAAACUAGUUCCUUGGAUAACACACCAAAUGGCCAGAAUGUUGAAGGCAUAUUUCACUCCUCUUCUUUCUUCCUUGUCGAGAAGCCUCAGGUUCUGCACCUUCUCCGCUUUCUUGCACAGCCAUGUUGGAUGCAGGAGAUGUUACAAGACAAGAUGAUUUCACUGGAAGCUGAGUUUUGCCAGCUUUGGGGAAAUGCUGAUGCAGAACAUCAUUUAUUUAAGGCUGAUACUCAUGGAUAGAAGAGUCAAAGUGCGAAUAUAUGCACCCUUCUAUACGGAUUCUGCAGAAAGAUAUGCUUGGGUCAUGACUCAGGUGAAUUUCCUAUGAAACUUUGUCUUUGGUAAAGCAUCCCAUUCUUGGCUGUUCCAUAUAUAUAUAUAUGGUAAGUUUGGGAGUGGCCUUGCUAGUAAAGAAUAAAUUAUUUACUUGGUUCUAGCUAUUUACAAAGUUGCUGGUGACUAAUUGCUGGAAAGAAGCUGGGACGUUCUGUGGCCCCUCCAUUUUAUAUCCCCUCCCUUUGGUUCUCUAGGAAAUUGAGUUCAGGAAAGCUACCAGGAAUAAAACUCUUACUUUUUA